rnacentral:rRNA from 1 species
GACGAACGCUGGCGGCGUGCUUAACACAUGCAAGUCGAACGGUGAAGCGCUUUCUUUUUUGGUUGGUGUGGUUGAGUGGCGAACGGGUGAGUAACACGUGAGUAACCUGCCCCCUUCUUCUGGCUAACCGCAUGAAAGUGUGGCUAAUACGGGAUAUGCUGCGCCUUCUGCAGGGUGGGUGUGGGACAGAUGGUGCCUUUGGGUGUGUUCGCUGGGGGAUGGGCUCGCGGCCUAUCAGCUUGCUGGUGGGGUGAUGGCCUGCCAAGGCGGUGACGGGUAGCGGGCCUGCGAGGGUGCAGGGUGAGAGUGGGACUGGGACACGGGGCAGAGUCAUACGGGACGGAGCAGUGGGGAAGACUGCACAAGGGGCGAAAGCCUGAUGCAGCGACGCCGCGUGAAGGAUGGAGGCCUGCGGGUUGUGAGCCUCUGGGGCCAGAGAAGCAGGCCGGAUGGAUGUAGGGGGGGUGACGGUAGCUGGAGAAGAAGCGCCGGCUAACUACGUG